rnacentral:rRNA from 1 species
UCGGGAAUUUUGGGCAAUGGGGGAAAGCCUGACCCAGCAACGCCGCGUGAAGGAUGAAGUAUUUCGGUAUGUAAACUUCGUAAGAAUAGGAAGAAUAAAUGACGGUACUAUUUGUAAGGUCCGGCUAACUACGUGCCAGCAGCCGCGGUAAUACGUAGGGACCAAGCGUUGUUCGGAUUUACUGGGCGUAAAGGGCGCGUAGGCGGUGUGUCAAGUCAGUUGUGAAAUCUCCGAGCUUAACUCGGAACGGUCAACUGAUACUGUCACACUAGAGUACAGAAGGGGCAAUCGGAAUUCUUGGUGUAGCGGUGAAAUGCGUAGAUAUCAAGAGGAACACCUGAGGCGAAGGCGGGUUGCUGGGCUGAUACUGACGCUGAGGCGCGAAAGCUAGGGUAGCAAACGGGAUUAGAUACCCGGGUAGUCCCUGAG